rnacentral:tRNA from 1 species
GAAUCCGUAGCUCAGCAGGUAGAGCACAACACUUUUAAUGUUGGGGUCCUGGGUUCGAGCCCCAGCGGGUUCACAA